UACGAAGGGGGCUAGCGUUGCUCGGAUUGACUGGGCGUAAAGGGCGCGUAGGCGGUUCGUACAGUCAGACGUGAAAUUCCUGGGCUCAACCUGGGGGCUGCGUUUGAUACGUGCGGACUUGAGUGCGGAAGAGGGUCGUGGAAUUCCCAGUGUAGAGGUGAAAUUCGUAGAUAUUCGCAAGAACACCAGUGGCAGAAGGCGGCUCACUGGCCCGAUACUGACGCUGAGGUGCGAAAGCGUGGGAGCAACAGG
rnacentral:rRNA from 1 species